GAUUGCUCUUGACGUUACUAAGGUACGUGUGUGUGAGACCUUAUUGGUUCAAAUAUUAUGCAAGGGUAUUAGAAAAUAUUUUGAGAUGAAUUUUUAAUGUAUGGUUAGGAUGAAAAGUAUGGGUGGAUUGGUGUGGACCACAAAAGAUCUCUCUCCUUCUCUUUCCCCGUGUUUCUUCUCUCUCUCUCUUCCCUCACGCUCUCUCCCUCUCAGUCUCUCUCUUCCUCUCCAAACUGUACGGACAGAUCCCAAAACCCUUCCAAACUUAGUGGAUCGACGAGUUUGAGGACACCAAUGGACUCCUGAAGACUCCACGAAUACACUGACACCACUUUUAGCUUGUAGGAAGCUUGGUGAGGUCCUAACGAAGCUCGGAGUGCUUCGUUUGGAAGAAUUGGACGUCGGGAUCGCCUAGUUCGAGUUUGGCCGAUUUUCUUGGAUUUUUGGAAGGUGAGACGUAUCCCGAGGACGACCGCAUCCAGGGACGCCACGGGGGUUACGACCCGUC